UGGGGAAUCUUAGACAAUGGGGGAAACCCUGGUCUAGCCAUGCCGCGUGAGUGAUGAAGGCCCUAGGGUCGUAAAGUUCUUUCGCCAGGGAUGAUAAUGACAGUACCUGGUAAAGAAACCCCGGCUAACUCCGUGCCAGCAGCCGCGGUAAUACGGAGGG
rnacentral:rRNA from 1 species